rnacentral:rRNA from 1 species
UACGUAGGUGGCAAGCGUUGUCCGGAUUUAUUGGGCGUAAAGCAUGCGUAGGCGGAUAUUUAAGUGGGAUGUGAAACCCCGGGGCUCAACCCCGGACGUGCAUUCCAAACUGGAUGUCUAGAGUGCAGGAGAGGAAAGGGGAAUUCCUAGUGUAGCGGUGAAAUGCGUAGAGAUUAGGAAGAACACCAGUGGUGAAGGCGCCUUUCUGGAUUGUAACUGACGCUGAGGCAUGAAAGCGUGGGUAGCAAACAGG